rfam:Bacteroidia bacterium 44-10 SCNpilot_bf_inoc_scaffold_270, whole genome shotgun sequence.
UUGAGUGUGGACAGAUUUGAACUGCUUGCAACCACAGAAAAAAAUGCUAAAACGCUUUAC